rnacentral:rRNA from 1 species
UACGUAGGGGGCAAGCGUUGUCCGGAUUUAUUGGGCGUAAAGAGCGUGUAGGCGGCCAGACAGGUCCGUUGUGAAAACUCGAGGCUCAACCUCGAGACGCCGAUGGAAACCGUCUGGCUAGAGUCCGGAAGAGGAGAGUGGAAUUCCUGGUGUAGCGGUGAAAUGCGCAGAUAUCAGGAAGAACACCCGUGGCUAAGGCGGCUCUCUAGUACGGUACUGACGCUGAGGCACGAAAGCGUGGGGAGCAAACAGG